rnacentral:rRNA from 1 species
ACGAACGCCGGCGGCGUGCCUAACACAUGCAAGUCGAACGAAGCUUGAUUUCUGAUUUUUUCGGAAUGACGAAUGAUAUGACUGAGUGGCGGACGGGUGAGUAACGCGUGAGCAACCUGCCCUUCGGAACGGGAUAGUGUCUGGAAACGGACAGUAAUACCGUAUAACAUAUAUUGAUCGCAUGGUUGAUAUAUCAAAACUGAGGUGCCGAAGGAUGGGCUCGCGUCUGAUUAGAUAGUUGGUGGGGUAACGGCCUACCAAGUCGACGAUCAGUAGCCGGACUGAGAGGUUGAACGGCCACAUUGGGACUGAGACACGGCCCAAACUCCUACGGGAGGCAGCAGUAGGGAAUCUUCGGCAAUGGACGAAAGUCUGACCGAGCAACGCCGCGUGAGUGAAGAAGGUUUUCGGAUCGUAAAACUCUGUUGGUAGAGAAGAACGUUGGUGAGAGUGGAAAGCUCAUCAAGUGACGGUAACUACCCAGAAAGGGACGGCUAACUACGUGCCAGCAGCCGCGGUAAUACGUAGGUCCCGAGCGUUGUCCGGAUUUAUUGGGCGUAAAGCGAGCGCAGGUGGUGUAUUAAGUCUGGUGUAAAAGGCAGUGGCUCAACCAAUAUAUGCAUUGGAAACUGGUAGACUUGAGUGCAGGAGAGGAGAGUGGAAUUCCAUGUGUAGCGGUGAAAUGCGUAGAUAUAUGGAGGAACACCGGUGGCGAAAGCGGCUCUCUGGCCUGUAACUGACACUGAGGCUCGAAAGCGUGGGGAGCAAACAGGAUUAGAUACCCUGGUAGUCCACGCCGUAAACGAUGAGUGCUAGAUGUAGGGAGCUAUAAGUUCUCUGUAUCGCAGCUAACGCAAUAAGCACUCCGCCUGGGGAGUACGACCGCAAGGUUGAAACUCAAAGGAAUUGACGGGGGCCCGCACAAGCGGUGGAGCAUGUGGUUUAAUUCGAAGCAACGCGAAGAACCUUACCAGGUCUUGACAUACUCGUGCUAUUCAAAGAGAUAGGAAGUUCCUUCGGGACACGGGAUACAGGUGGUGCAUGGUUGUCGUCAGCUCGUGUCGUGAGAUGUUGGGUUAAGUCCCGCAACGAGCGCAACCCCUAUUGUUAGUUGCCAUCAUUAAGUUGGGCACUCUAACGAGACUGCCGGUGAUAAACCGGAGGAAGGUGGGGAUGACGUCAAAUCAUCAUGCCCCUUAUGACCUGGGCUACACACGUGCUACAAUGGAUGGUACAACGAGUCGCGAGACAGUGAUGUUUAGCUAAUCUCUUAAAACCAUUCUCAGUUCGGAUUGUAGGCUGCAACUCGCCUACAUGAAGUCGGAAUCGUUUUUUUUUUUUCGGAUCAGCACGCCGCGGUGAAUACGUUCCCGGGCCUUGUACACACCGCCCGUCACACCACGGGAGUUGGGAGUACCCGAAGUAGGUUGCCUAACCGCAAGGAGGGCGCUUCCUAAGGUAAGACCGAUGACUGGGGUGAAGUCGUAACAAGGUAGCCGUAUCGGAAGG